GGAUGUGAGGGUGAUCGGGCAGCAGCAUCUGUCACUCAUGGAUCACCGGGUUUGACUGGGCUGCUCUGGCUGUCAGGACAGGUGUCCCCUUCCUCCCUCACCGCUCGUUGUGCAUCCCUCCCCUUCCUGAAGCUCCGAAGAGGACCAUUUCCUAGGUCAACUCAACGGUGUAGCAGUAGCUGCACUUCUCUGCUGAACCUCCAAAUAAGCUCUCGAAGGCACAAGGGUGCACCUUCCCUACUAGGUUAGAUUGGUGGGCACGAUUUAGCUCUGAAAUUAUGCUGAGAUCUAAAAUGUACAUCGUCA
rnacentral:snRNA from 1 species